GCGGUGGAGCAUGUGGUUUAAUUCGAAGCAACGCGAAGAACCUUACCAGGUCUUGACAUCCCGAUGCUAUUUCUAGAGAUAGAAAGUUACUUCGGUACAUCGGUGACAGGUGGUGCACGGUUGUCGUCAGCUCGUGUCGUGAGAUGUUGGGUUAAGUCCCGCAACGGGCGCAACCCCUAUUGUUAGUUGCCAUCAUUCAGUUGGGCACUCUAGCGAGACUGCCGGUAAUAAACCGGAGGAAGGUGGGGAUGACGUCAAAUCAUCAUGCCCCUUAUGACCUGGGCUACACACGUGCUACAAUGGUUGGUACAACGAGUUGCGAGUCGGUGACGGCGAGCUAAUCUCUUAAAGCCAAUCUCAGUUCGGAUUGUAGGCUGCAACUCGCCUACAUGAAGUCGGAAUCGCUAGUAAUCGCGGAUCAGCACGCCGCGGUGAAUACGUUCCCGGGCCUU
rnacentral:rRNA from 1 species